rnacentral:rRNA from 1 species
UGUAGUCAUAUGCUUGUCUCAAAGAUUAAGCCAUGCAUGUCUAAGUAUAAACACCUUAUACUGUGAAACUGCAGAUGGCUCAUUAAAUCAGUUAUAAUUUAUUUGAUGGUUAACUUACUACAUGGAUACCCGUAGUAAUUCUAGAGCUAAUACAUGCGAAAAAACCCGACUUUUUGGAAGGGUUGCAUUUAUUAGAUACAAAACCAAUGGCCAGCAAUGGUCUUCUUUGGUGAUUCAUAAUAACUUUUGCGGAUCGCAUGGCCUUGUGCCGGCGACGAAUCAUUCAAAUUUCUGCCCUAUCAACUUUCGAUGGUACGGUAUUGGCCUACCAUGGUUACAACGGGUAACGGGGA